AAUCAACGCUGGCGGCGUGCCUCAGACAUGCAAGUCGAACGAUUAAAGCUCCCUUCGGGGAGUGCAUAAAGUGGCGCACGGGUGAGUAACACGUAAGUAAUCUACCCUCGGGUGGGGAAUAACAUCGGGAAACCGAUGCUAAUACCGCAUAAUGCAGCGGCACCGCAAGGUGACAGUUGUUAAAGAUUUAUUGCCUGGGGAGAGCUUGCGGCAGAUUAGCUUGNGGUAAGGUAACGGCUUACCAAGGCUACGAUCUGUAUCCGGUCUAA
rnacentral:rRNA from 1 species